GGGAGUUUAGCUUAGCGGUGUAAGCGCCUGCCUUGCAAGCAGGCAGUUGUGAGUUCAAUCCCUG
rnacentral:tRNA from 1 species